AUAUAUUAUUUUUCUUUCUACCAAAUAUUUAGAAUACACUUUGGAAGACCAGGUAUUUUUAAGUUAAAAGGCUCUCAUAGGGAACCUGCCUACAUUUGAAUACUAAAACUUUACCCCCAAUCUUAUUCCCCUGAAAAUUUACCACAAACAGGAAAAUAGGAUAAACAAGGGAAUAAAGAGUAUUUCAAAGACUUCUAUUAAGAAAUGGAGACGAGGAGUUCCCGUCGUGGCUCAGUGGUUAGCGAAUCCGAUUAGGAACCAUGAGGUUGCGGGUUCGAUCCCUGGCCUUGCUCAAUGGGUUAAGGAUCUGGCAUUGCCAUGAGCUGUGGUGUAGGUUGCAGACACGGCUCGGAUCCCAUGUUGCUGUGGCUCUGGCGUAGGCCAGUGGCUACAGCUCCGAUUUGACCCCUAGCCUGGGAACCUCCAUAUGCCAUUGGAGCAGCCCAAGAAAUGGCAAAAAGACAAAAAAAAGAAAUGGAGACGAAACGAGAAAUGGGAUCACAAAAGAACAGAGCGGAGGUAUAAGUAGGGGAGACCAGGUUAAAUGUGCUAGAAGGUGGAGACGGCUCUUCUCUCUUCUUCCAUCAGCGACAGAGAACCUCAAUUUGCACUCUCAGGAAAACACCAAAGCUUGACUCAUCUGGUGGCUGGGAGUAUCCCCCAUUGCCAUUCAACAUUCAGAGACCCCUGCCUGCCUACCUCCUCCCUCUGAUGUAAAAAGGUUUUAACUCUAGCCCCAAAUGUCCUCUUCUAUAGGACUCAGUGUUUUUCUGUCUUUGCAGGAAAUUCCAAGUUCCCUCAAUUUUUUUUUUCUUUUUCCUGCCACACCUGCUGCAUAUGGAAGCUCCCAGGCUAGGAGUUGAACUGGAGCUGCAGCUGCUGGCCUAUGCCACAGCCAUAACAACACCAGGUCUGAGCAGCAUCUGCAGCCUAUGCCUCAGCUUGCAGCAACUCUAGAUCCUUAAUCCACUGAGGGAGGCCAGGGAACCUUCAUCCUCAUGGACAUCAUGUCAGGUUCUUAAUUCACUGAGCCACAACAGGAAAUCCAGGCUCCUUCAGUUUUAGAUAACCCAUGAUAACAAUUUGUCUCAAUAUAUAAUGAGGAAUCUGUCUCAAACUGGUUAUCACUGGGCUAUCUACCUACGACAAAAAGUGAUGCAUUAUUCCUGAUACGUGUGAUUUCAUUAGAUGCCAGAACAUUCUAUGGAAGCUUGAGGAAGAGAACAGACACUAUCAUGAUCAGAGAAGAUGACUAUAAACCUAGAUAUUAAUUUUGGACCCAUGAAAUGGUCUUCUUAGUACAUAAACAAAAUAAUUCAUGCAAAGCACUUCACACAGUAUAGCUCUUGUCCAGUGUUCAAAGUAAUAUUUCUCACACAAUCUUUGAAUUCCCAUAAUGUUUUUGAUGUCCCUCUGUUAGCUUUUCUAUCAUAGUCUUCUUAUGUGCUACAUCACCAACUAGAUGGUAAUCUCGCUGAGAGUGAAGGAAAGAAAUCAUCAGCGUCUCCACAGGGCCAAGAAUAUAGUGAGUACCAUGGAAACUGCCUCGUAAAUACCUGAUAGCCAGCUGAAGGAAGGAAAGAGAAGGUAGAGUUAGGUUUUGUAAAGUUCACUACCACCUAAACAGGAUGAUGAUAAGAGCCCCCUGAUCUGGAAAGCUGGGUUUUGUUGCCACCUCUACCAAUGAUUUCCUGUAUUGUCUUGAGCAACCCACAUAGAAUUUGAGGCUAAGACUUCCCUACAAAUCCCCUAAUGUUACUAAGAGGAUCACAGGGGAUAAAUGUGAAAAUGAAGCCUGCAGGGUCCAUCCUCUCCCUCGAAGUCACUUCACCUCCCACAGAUUCGGUUUUUGUAGCUGAAAAAUGGGAGACAGUACCAGCUCAAGCAUCUUAUGAGACUGCAGAAUUCCUAAACCAACCACCCUAAAGAAGUUCUCAGAUGAAUGAAAAAAAAAAAUGACAUCAAUGAAAUACAUAUUUGCUAGAAGAAUUUUUGUUUCUUUUCUCCUCACUUUUACUAAUUCCUUUGUCCAAAUUAUUAAAUCACAGUGAGAUCAGAGGGCCAAUCAUGGAAGGUACCUGAAGGCUACCAGAGCCCUCACUGCUUCUCCGAAACUGGGGUGCACCAUCAUUUUCUCAGCACCAGCUGCCCCAACCCCUGUCUUCCAACUAGGUCAAAGACGCCUCUGCUCCAGAGCAGGAAGCCUCAGCCAGGGUGCUGACCUGGUUUUCCCAUGUCAAGAAUGCAACACUAGCUCAAUUUUAUCUCCUAAAUGGUGCUAAGUGUUUUAGUAUGUUAUUCAAUUUCAUAUUUUAAACAGCUUUCUGGGGUAGAUAUAAAUAACCAUAUUUGAGAGAAUAUGGUAGGGGGCAUAAUAAAUGCUACAUAAGUGUUUAUUGAGUGAAUGAUGGAAGGAAUACAGAGCCAAGUAGAAUACUGAGGCACAGUAGCCCAAACUCACAUGCUAGUAAGAACAAAGCUCAGACAAGAACCAGUUGCAUACAACCUCAAAAUGCCUCUGUGAUGGCCUAAACUGUAAUGUUGGCCAUUCUUGCAUUGAUUUUAAAUUGAAGUUUCCUCCACAUAAUAUUUGAAGUAGCUACUUCUCUUCAUCUGGUUCCAGAGCUGCAGGUGCUGGUCUAGUUUCUCAGGUGUUUCUCCUUUGCCUAAUGAGCAGCCUGCUGACCAGUUAUGGAGAAGGCCAGGUUUGAUGAUCUCAAGGUCCCUUCC
rnacentral:lncRNA from 1 species